rnacentral:rRNA from 1 species
AACGCUGGCGGCGUGCUUAACACAUGCAAGUCGAACGAAGCAGCAGUGAAGGAGGCUUCGGCCAAUGGAACUGUUGACUUAGUGGCGGACGGGUGAGUAACGCGUGAGCAACCUGCCUUUCAGAGGGGGAUAACGUUUGGAAACGAACGCUAAUACCGCAUGACAUAGAGAUGUCGCAUGGCAUAGCUAUCAAAGGAGCAAUCCGGCUGAAAGAUGGGCUCGCGUCCGAUUAGAUAGUUGGUGGGGUAACGGCCUACCAAGUCGACGAUCGGUAGCCGGACUGAGAGGUUGAACGGCCACAUUGGGACUGAGACACGGCCCAGACUCCUACGGGAGGCAGCAGUGGGGAAUAUUGCACAAUGGGCGCAAGCCUGAAUGCAGCAACGCCGCGUGAGGGAAGACGGUUUUCGGAUUGUAAACCUCUGUCCUUGGUGAAGAUAAUGACGGUAGCCGAGGAGGAAGCCACGGCUAACUACGUGCCAGCCGCCGC